rfam:Asian citrus Psyllid, Diaphorina citri - Florida Strain, whole genome shotgun sequence.
GCCAGAGGCGAUAGCACGUUGAAGAAACCAGUUCCGAAUGAUUCACUGAAGCAACGUUGUGUGUGGUGAGUACCCGGAUGGGUGACCAAUUUGGUUAUCGCAUGCUCUGGCU